UUGAACGCUGGCGGAAUGCUUUACACAUGCAAGUCGAACGGCAGCACGGGGGCAACCCUGGUGGCGAGUGGCGAACGGGUGAGUAACACAUCGGAACGCGUCCUGUAAUGGGGGAUAACCUGGCGAAAGCCAGGCUAAUACCGCAUACGUCCUGAGGGAGAAAGCGGGGGAUCGCAAGACCUCGCGCGAUUGGAGUGGCCGAUGUCAGAUUAGCUAGUUGGUGGGGUAAAGGCCUACCAAGGCGACGAUCUGUAGCGGGUCUUAGAGGAUGAUCCGCCACACUGGGACUGAGACACGGCCCAGACUCCUACGGGAGGCAGCAGUGGGGAAUUUUGGACAAUGGGCGAAAGCCUGAUCCAGCCAUGCCGCGUGCGGGAAGAAGGCCUUCGGGUUGUAAACCGCUUUCAGCCGGAAAGAAAUCGCCACUUCUAAUACGAGUGGUGGAUGACGGUACCGGAAGAAGAAGCACCGGCUAACUACGU
rnacentral:rRNA from 1 species